rnacentral:lncRNA from 1 species
CUGGUGGAGGAGGGCAACAGGACCUUCUGAGGCUGUGAGGUGGGUCCAGGGAGGGUGGCUGGGCUCAAGGGCGGCACCAGGCCGCUGGGUGUGCUCACAGGCACAGGAGUCAGCUGGAUGAUCUGUGGGUAGAAACACCCACAGGACGGGGUGAGCUGUGACCCUAAAGUAAAAGGACUGAGGGGCCAGGGAUUUAGCUCAGUGGUUUCGCUGCCUGCUACGCAAGCCUAAGGACCAGAGUUCGAUCCCCGGUACCAAAAAAACCCACAAAAAAUAGGAGGAAAAAAAAAAAAAAGGACUGAGACCUAGGAGGGGUACUAUACAAAAGCAGGGGACUCAGAAUUUGGGAUUAAGACAUGACAAAAGAUGACAAGAGGACACAGAAAAAGAGCAAGGUGUAGACACUGGGGACUUAAAAUAUGGCAAGGUUGGGCCGGGGAUUUAGCUCAGUGGUUUCGCUGCCUGCCUUGCAAGUGCAAGGACCCGAGCUCAAUCUCCGGUACCAAAAAAACCCCCAAAACCAAAAAACAAAAACAAAACAAACCGCAAGGUGCAUAGCUGUCAUGAAAGAUGCCAAAAAAGAACUCCAGGAAGAGAAGCAAGUGACUAAAGGAGCCAGGCGUGGUGGUGCCCACCUGUAAUCCCAUCCCAGCACUUGGGAGGCUGAGGCAGGAGGAUUGCUGUGAGUUCAAGGCCAGCCUGGGUUACAUAGUGAGUUUAGGACCAGCCUGAACUACAUAGUGAGACCCUGCCUCAAAAAACCAGAGAAAGGGCCGGGGAUUUAGCUCAGUGGUUCCGCUACUUGACUCGAAAACACAAGGACCAGAGUUUGAUCCCCGGUAACAACAACAAAAAAAAGUGACUGAAGGAAAAACAGACACAGAAACAGUGGAAGACAGGAAACAACAUGUAGCAGAAGAAAGGGAAAAGUGGAGCCAAAGCUAAUAAAUACACCCUUACCUUGCUGGGUGGCUGGGCACCAUUCUGCACAGGUACUGAGAAUGGUGGACUGACCAGGGGCAGUGGCUGGCCAGCCCCUCCACUCCGUACUGACAUGCUAGGGGCAGCCAGGGGUACUAGUACCUUCCCAGGUAGCAGCUGGGCUGAGCCACCUGGGGGUGGGGCCUGCACGGGAGAAACUGACUGGGCUGGAAGUUGCAGAGGAAAGAAAAGAAAAAAUUACAAUAAAACCAAACAAGCCUACUAACCUAAUCCUUGUGCUGCCCAGCCCAUGCCUCACCUUUAGGGGGUGGUGCAGAGGGUACAGGCUGCAAGAUAGGGAUGCCAGGGGUGGGUGCAGUGGCGGCCAGGACCUUGCCGUUGGUGGAGGUGCCCGGCGGGAGGGUGAAACGGAUGCUGGUGGUGGGUGCAGGGCCGCUGGGAGCUGCUGUCUUGGUCCCAGGGGCUGCUGCUGGGGCAGGUGCCUUCCCCACAGUGCCCAGCAGGGGCCCAGCCACCAAGUGUGGGGCUGGUGAGGUGGCUGCUGACUUCUUGUCCGAAUACACUAAACUGACACCCAGCGGGGAGCCCCCAGGUACCCGAGACCCAGUGCCCAUUUCAGUCCUGGCACCUGCUGUGUCAUUUGGAGAUGCCUCAGCCCUGCCAGAGGCGGGGAAGGGCUUAGAGGCAAUGGGCACAGGAGUGCUGCUGACAGGCCGCACUACGUUGGUGACCAUGGUGGCAGCAGGGCGGGACAAAGGGGCUGCUGGGGUCCCAUAGGCCAGUGAUGGGGCUGGGACCGAGGGUACUCGGGCCCCACUGCCCUCCCGCUCCUCCUUGUUUGGGGGCAGGACUAGUGUCUGCAGGAUGUUUCCUCCCCCACUGGGAGGUGCCGCAAUGACUGAGGGACCUGGUGGCUCCAAGCACCCAACACUUUCAGGUCUCUUGCGCCGGAAGGUGGCAGGAUCCGUUGGGAGAAACCGAGUGACCUUGGAAGAUGUUGCUGGGCCUCCAGCCCCAGAGAGUGGAGGCCGAAGUGGGCCUGCUGCACUGCCCUGACCAGACUCCUGGACUUUGAAGGUUCCAGACCCCAGUGAGAAGGAGGUGGCUACUGAGGUUGAGGCAGCAAGUGAGGAGGAGGAGGAGGAAGAGGAAGAAGAUGGGGUGGGGCCGUAGCCUUUGCCAAAGGCUGCAGCUGCAGGUGGAUCUGGGGGCCCUGGAGGCUCAGGGUCCAGUGCUGGACGGCAAUGGGUGAAGGAAGAACGGAUCACAGGUGAGAACACCUUACGGCCAAAGCCCUGGGUAGAAGGAAGAAAGAGACACCCUAAUCAAGGAAAUAUAAGCAUUUAGACACUCACCCCCAGGCACCCUUUACAGCCAAAGGCUUUAACUCAUUCAGCUAUGAUCCUACUUGUCACAGGCCAAGCAGUUUUCUCUCUCCAGGCCUUAAUCUCUCCCCAGGUCAAACACACAGGAGCAGACAUUCUCCCCUCCUAGGAGUGUGACAGGACAGCACACUGUGCCCCAGGGCCAAGCCUCACCUUGUUGCCCUCUGGGUCCUCCCCAGAGCUGUCUCCACUCUCACUAUCAGUCACCCGCUCCUUGCACUUGAGAUCAAUAUCAGUGGUACCAAAACCUUCAUCAGCUGAGAAACAGAAGGAACAUUGUGGGAAAGAAGCUGAGGGCAGAACUACCCAGGAGGGAACAGUUUGGAACCUGGACUCUGGUCUCAGUUCUGCCUCAUUCAGGAGUGUCAUUCAGGAGGCUAGUUCCGAGCACAAUACAGGAGUCUAAAAGCACACAGACACAGCAUCUACCACUGUGCUAACAGUUCUCAUGUCCUGCCUAAGGGCCUGCAGAUCCCUGGAGAACAGGCCUGGGUUUAUUCAGCAGGACCAGAACUGAUGGCAUGCAGUCAUAAACAAACAUGAACAAAAAUAAAUGGAAGGAUCCUAGCAGCCUGGGUUCUCACCACCCUCCAUGGCUUAGCCUGCUGGUCCCUAGCAGGAUUCUGGGCCCUGCACUGCUCACCGAUAACAUCAUCGUCCCCUUCUUCUUCACAGAUGACCAUGCGUUCUUCAUCACUGGUCAUGUCCUCACUGGCUGCACGCUGGGAACGAGAGGCUCGGGUGGGCAGCAGUGGGGGCCGCCCACCGGCCGCCAAGGUGCCUCCCUCACUGGGGGUUGCGAAGGGGCCUGAAGUGCCAUACUGGGUGGAAGGCUUUGGGCCAGAGUAUGAUGUGGGGCCAGACACCAUCUGCAGAACAGGUGGCAGGGAAGGUUCAGCCACAUCUGCUGCCUCAGGCAAGCCCUCC